UCCGAGUUGUCCCCGGCAGUCCCUCUAGAGCGGCAUGGUGUAUGUCAAACCCAGGUAAGGUUCUUCGCGUUGCAUCGAAUUAAUCCGCAUGCUCCGCCGCUUGUGCGGGCCCCCGUCAAUUCCUUUGAGUUUUAGCCUUGCGGCCGUACUCCCCAGGCGGGGCGCUUAAUGCGUUAGCUACGGCACGGAAUCCGUGGAAACAGAUCCCACACCUAGCGCCCAACGUUUACGGUGUGGACUAC
rnacentral:misc_RNA from 1 species